rnacentral:rRNA from 1 species
AUACGGAGGAUGCAAGCGUUAUCCGGAUUUAUUGGGUUUAAAGGGUGCGUAGGCUGUUCGACAAGUCAGGGGUGAAAGCCCAGUGCCUAACACUGGAACUGCCUUUGAUACUGCCGAGCUGGAAUACGGAUGCCGUGGGAGGAAUGAGUAGUGUAGCGGUGAAAUGCAUAGAUAUUACUCAGAACACCGAUUGCGAAGGCAUCUCACGAAUCCGUCAUUGACGCUGAGGCACGAAAGCGUGGGGAUCAAACAGGAUUAGAUACCCUGGUAGUCCACGCAGUAAACGAUGAUAACUAAACGUCGGCGAUACACAGUCGGUGGCCAAGCGAAAGCGAUAAGUUAUCCACCUGGGGAGUACGUUCGCAAGAAUGAAACUCAAAUGAAUUGACGGGG